CUAGCAGAACGUAGAACGCUAAAGUUGUGGAGUUAACUUUAGAGUUCAACGUUCUGCUAGUGGAGGUAACUUUAGCGUUCUACGUUCUGCUAG
rnacentral:pre_miRNA from 1 species